UACAGAGGUCUCGAGCGUUGUUCGGAUUCAUUGGGCGUAAAGGGUGCGUAGGUGGCUUGGUCAGUCGGAUGUGAAAUCCCGGGGCUCAACCCCGGAACUGCAUUCGAUACUGCCGGGCUGGAGUACUGGAGAGGAGAUUGGAAUUUACGGUGUAGCAGUGAAAUGCGUAGAUAUCGUAAGGAAGACCAGUGGCGAAGGCGGAUCUCUGGACAGUUACUGACACUGAGGCACGAAGGCCAGGGGAGCAAACGGG
rnacentral:rRNA from 1 species